rnacentral:tRNA from 4 species
UCCCUGAUAGCUCAGUUGGUAGAGCAAACGACUGUUAAUCGUUAGGUCACUGGUUCGAGUCCAGUUCAGGGAGCCA